rnacentral:rRNA from 1 species
UACGGAGGGUGCAAGCGUUAUCCGGAUUCACUGGGUUUAAAGGGUGCGUAGGUGGGCUAGUAAGUCCGUGGUGAAAUCUCCAAGCUUAACUUGGAAACUGCCGUGGAUACUAUUAGUCGUGAAUAUUGUGGAGGUAAGCGGAAUAUGUCAUGUAGCGGUGAAAUGCUUAGAUAUGACAUAGAACACCGAUAGCGAAGGCAGCUUGCUACACAAUCAUUGACACUGAGGCACGAAAGCGUGGGGAUCAAACAGG